AGAGUGAACGCUGGUGGUAGGCCUAACACAUGCAAGUCGAACGGCAGCACGGUAAGAGCUUGCUCUUAUGGGUGGCGAGUGGCGGACGGGUGAGGAAUACAUCGGAAUCUACCUUUUGGUGGGGGAUAACGUAGGGAAACUUACGCUAAUACCGCAUACGCCCUUCGGGGGAAAGCCGGGGACCAGCAAUGGCCUGGCGCUGAUAGAUGAGCCGAUGUCGGAUUAGCUAGUUGGUGAGGUAAUGGCUCACCAAGGCGACGAUCCGUAGCUGGUCUGAGAGGAUGAUCAGCCACACUGGAACUGAGACACGGUCCAGACUCCGUACGGGAGCAGCAGGUGGGGAAUAUUGGACAAGUGGGGCGACAAGCCU
rnacentral:rRNA from 1 species